UGCAUAUCAAUAAGCGGAGGAAAAGAAACUAACAAGGAUUCCCCUAGUAACGGCGAGUGAAGAGGGAAGAGCUCAAAUUUUAAAUCCGCCUUGUUCGCAAGGCCGAGUUGUAAUUUGAAGAAGCGUUUUCUUGGGCUCGCUGCCGGUAGAAGUUCUUUGGAACAGGACAUCAUAGAGGGUGACAAUCCCGUCUGUGACCGGUCGCGCGGUUCAUCUACGAUACGCUUUCAAAGAGUCGAGUUGUUUGGGAUUGCAGCUCCAAACGGGUGGUAAACAUCACCUAAGGCUAAAUAUUGGCGAGAGACCGGUAGCGAACAAGUACCGUGAGGGAAAGAUGAAAAGAACUUUGAAAAGAGAGUUAAACAGUACGUGAAAUUGUUGAAAGGGAAACGAUUGAAGUCAGUCGUGCUGGCGCGAAAUCAGCUCGACCACUAGGGGAUCACAAGCCGUAGCGAGCCUCAAAACCGCUACGACUUGUGAUCGCUUGGUGGCCUGGUGCACUUUCGUGUCGGCUGGUUAACGUCAAUUUCGAUCGUCAUAAAAAGGCUGGAGGGAUGUGGCUCCUUCGGGAGUGUUAUAACCUUUGGCGGAAUGUGGUGGUCGGGAUUGAGGCUUGCAACGGAUACCUUCGGGGCUGUUCCACCUGGCCUCUCAUCGGCAUCCUGGCGGCGACAGCUUGCUGGCGUUGUUAGGAUCAGCCUUCGAACAGGCUAGAGUGUGAGCAAAUUCGUUAAAGAUGUUGACGUA
rnacentral:rRNA from 1 species